UGAGUAACACGUGACUAAUCUACCCUCGAGUGGGGAAUAACUGAGAGAAAUCUUAGCUAAUACCGCAUAACACUUACGAGUCAAAGCAGCAAUGCGCUUGGGGAGGAGGUCGCGGCCGAUUAGCUAGUUGGCGGGGUAAUGGCCCACCAAGGCGAUGAUCGGUAUCCGGCCUGAGAGGGCGCACGGACACACUGGAACUGAAACACGGUCCAGACUCCUACGGGAGGCAGCAGUGGGGAAUUUUGCGCAAUGGGGGAAACCCUGACGCAGCAACGCCGCGUGGAGGAUGAAGUAUCUUGGUACGUAAACUCCUUUCGAUGGGGAAGAUAAUGACGGUACCCAUAGAAGAAGCCCCGGCUAACUUCGUGCCAGCAGCCGCGGUAAUACGAGGGGGGCAAGCGUUAGUUCGGAUUUAUUGGGCGUAAAGGGUGCGUAGGCGGUUUGGCAAGUCUUAUGUGAAAUCUUCGGGCUCAACCCGAAGCCUGCAUAAGAAACUGCCGGGCUUGAGUAUGGGAGAGGUGA
rnacentral:rRNA from 1 species